GCGGGAGUAGUUUAAUGGUAGAACCUUAGCCUUCCAAGCUAAUGACACGGGUUCGAUUCCCGUUUCCCGCU
rnacentral:tRNA from 2 species